CACAAAGAUGUUUCAAGGUCUUCCCAGAAGCAAGCUAUAGAGGUGGGCUCCUUCUGUCCACGAGAGUCUCUCUUCGAGAGGAGUGGCACAGCAACAAAAGUCGAAGGUUACAUUCAAACUGCCAAGAUUCCCCCAGGACUGAAAUGGAGGUCAUCCCUUAAACCCCCAAAUCCCAGGGAAGAAAAUGUGAUCCUAAAUAUGGAGAUCCUAUCAACAUUCCAUUUAGCAUUUCCACAAGCCCAGAGUUGAGACCAGCAGGCACAGGCAGGCUGCGCAUCGUCCGACAGAAUAAUAAACCUCAAGAUGGUAUCUCGAAGCAUCUCCACCACACC
rnacentral:lncRNA from 1 species